rfam:Gossypium arboreum cultivar AKA8401 contig_6708_5, whole genome shotgun sequence.
UAUUAAAAAUUUCAUAUAUUUUUACUGUUAAAAACUAAUAUAGCUGACAGAAUAACCAGACAGUUAUAUGUGAUGUGCCACAUGUACUUCAUUCUGAUGUAUAGGGAUAAAUUUUUAACAAUAUAUAUGAAUGGAAUUUUUACUA